rnacentral:lncRNA from 1 species
CAGAACUCUAAGAAAUAUAGGAAUGGCAGGUGUAAGGAGCAGUUACCACACCUAAGGCUUAUGGAGAGAGCCUGAGGUAGAGCCUCCGCCCCAUCCACCUCAGUCUCGGGGCUGAAUUCCAGACCUUGUUGGAGAAGGCAUGGCCAUGGCUCACUGGAUGGCAGGGAAGCUGCUGUGGUGCUGUACAAGAAGAACCUGCUGGAAACCUGCCCUUGAGAGUGCCAGGGAAAGCUGUUCACAGAGCGUUGUCUCUAUGACACAAGGCACUAGACUAUGAGAUUGCCCUGUGGGGAGACAAGGCAAAGCUCCUGGCCACUGGGUACUGCUGACCAUGUACCCUGAGGGGAUUGGGGCUGGGAAAGUCACCAUUACUGCAGGUGCUGGACACUGCUGAAGCCCUUGGGGCCACCAGAAACCUGGUGCUAAAGAAGCCCUGCCAGGUGCACAAGACAAGUGAGCUCCCAGAACCGCCUCUAUCCUGAAGAGCGUUGGACCCUGGAGCUGCUGGCCACAUCUUGAUCUGCCAUAUGUGGUCCAAGAAUGAAGUCAACACGAAGGAGAAUGAAGGUGCUGAGGGAUAAAGUUAUUGACAUUCUAGGAGCUCCUGGAUCAAACCAUGCCUGAACUCAAUUUAUCCCUUGAACUUUUCAAUUACAUGAAUAAAUCCUCCUUUUGCCUGAGUCAAUGUGGAUUAGUAUCAUUGGCAUUCAGAAGAUUCCUAAAGUCUCAGGUCUUCUGCACAUCUAUAACCAUGGCAAUUGCGGUCCUGCUCUCCUUUCCCCUCCCCUGAGCAGGCAAGCUUUCCUUCUCUAUCAUGUAAACCUCCUGGGUCAUUCAGAGUAUUUCUCAAAUGUUACCUGGAGUUUCCCAAGACUUCAGUUCUCACUGACCAUUUACUUCUUAAACUGCUAGGAUGAUAACCUAUAACUUUGCAUCUAACCAAUCCCUUAGCACUUUCCUUAGAGACUUCUUAGAGAUCUUUUUGAUGCCUAAGGGUAGGAAUCAGGGCUUCUCUAUCUUGUAUAUGCACUGCCCCCCACCCACAGGUCCAUAGAAUAACAGCUGAGGACCUGUAGCUCUACAAGGGCAGGGACUGUCAAACAUGCCAGACUGCACAUGGUAGUUACCACUAGAGGGCUCUGGGUAUGGGCAAUAAGCAGGACUUCUGCAUUUUACAUCUAUGCUAUCAUUCGAGUCUUGUAUGAGCAUUUAUUUUACAAAUCUCUAUCUUGCAAAGCAAACCCUUAGUGUGAAUAACUGAGGAGUGGUGGAUCGGCCAGCUCUUCCGUGCAGUGUUCUAAAGCCUCUUGCUCCUGUCUCUCCUGUGGGAAACCCAUAGUUACGGCUUCAAGCAGAGACCCAAGCACCACCUCAGGGUCUUGACCUUGUGUGGGAAUAAUCUAUCACCAAGAUGCAGACAGAGACAAACUGCUUCACAGAGCAUUUUAUCCCCUAGAAAAUCCCCAACCCCAGCAUCCUGGGUGCUGCCCAACCUCUUCAAAUACAAAGGCAAAUAAAAUAAAUAAAAGUAAAUAUUGUACUCAUAAGCAACAGAAUGCCUAGCAACCAAGAACAAGGGAGGGCUGGAGGAAGAAGGUUGACUUUCGCAGGCCCUUGUGUAUAAACUGCAGUAAAAGUCUUCUCUGUGUGAAUAAUAUAUUUUUGAGCGUUAAAUUAUAGAAGGUGUAAGGAAUGCUAAGGCUGAGACCCAACAGAGAGAGCUGGCCCCACCCUGAAUGGGAGGGGCAGGGGUCUCCUUGGUCUUUGUCCCUGCUGACUGGUAUUGAGGGAGGGGGAGUCUCCGCUGUAGCUUCAGGAAUGGAACACAGGGCACCAGGCCUCAGUUAAUCCCUUUAGGGACCCUUAGCCCUGAAACAAUGCUGGUGCAACCCCACAUGUAACUCAGAAGAAAAUGUUAAGUCACGAAAUAAAUGUAAGAGCUCUGAUGUUUUUCUAUAACACCCAUUUCAAUGCUUUGUUAGAAAGUAUGUACGUAAAGCACAUGACAUUGUUCUCAUUAAAUUUUUUUGUUACGAAAACUUUUAAACACACUCAGAAGAGUAGGAUUUUUGAACCUCUCAUCUGGGUACAAUAUUAUUAAAAUUCUGC